rnacentral:rRNA from 1 species
UACGUAGUGGGCAAGCGUUGUCCGGAAUUAUUGGGCGUAAAGCGCGCGCAUGCGGUCCUUUAAGUCUGAUGUGAAAGCCCACGGCUUAACCGUGGAGGGUCAUUGGAAACUGAGGGACUUGAGUACAGAAGAGGAGAGUGGAAUUCCACGUGUAGCGGUGAAAUGCGUAGAGAUGUGGAGGAACACCAGUGGCGAAGGCGACUCUCUGGUCUGUAACUGACACUGAGGCGCGAAAGCGUGGGGAGCAAACAGGAUUAGAUA